AGUGAACGCUGGCGGUAGGCCUAACACAUGCAAGUCGAACGGAAGCACAGUAAGAGCUUGCUCUUACGGGUGGCGAGUGGCGGACGGGUGAGGAAUACAUCGGAAUCUACUUUUUCGUGGGGGAUAACGUAGGGAAACUUACGCUAAUACCGCAUACGACCUACGGGUGAAAGCAGGGGAUCUUCGGACCUUGCGCGAUUGAAUGAGCCGAUGUGGGAUUAGCUAGUUGGCGGGGUAAAGGCCCACCAAGGCGACGAUCCGUAGCUGGUCUGAGAGGAUGAUAGGCGACACUGGAAGGGGGACAGGGACCAGACGCCUGAGGGAGGCAGCAGUGGGGAAUGGGGGACAGUGGGCGGAAGCCUGGUCCAGCCAGAGCGCGUGUGUGAAGGAGGCCUUCGGGUUGUAAAGCCGUUUUGUGGGGAAAGAAAAGCAGCAGGUUAAUACCCCGCUGGACUGACGGUACCCAAUGAAUAAGCACCGGCUAACUUCGUG
rnacentral:rRNA from 1 species